AAUGGAGUGAUGGACAGGUGGAUAAGAUUUUUGAAGGAGGAUUAGGAUUGGUUGGUUCCCUAUCUAUAUGCAAUCCAUGUUUUGAGGAAUAAGGGGUCAUAGCCCACUAGCUACACCUCUUAAAUGGGCGGGUUAUCACGACUUUGAUUAUUGUUAAAAACUUUCACUCAGUUUACUCAAGGUAUAUUAAUUUUUCUAUAAAUCAAGGUCUUUUUUUAUAUAAAAUUAUAAUUUAACUUUUAUCGAAAAUUUACUAUUUAUUUUGAAAGCCGUUAAAAAAUAUUCAUCAUUUUAUUUUAAAGAUGUUUUUUUAGUAUCGUUAAAUAAAAUUGUUCAAGUCUGGUUUUGUUAAAAUAUGAAUCUUAAUACUAUGAUUGGAUUCUUUUUAAUGUGAGGAUAAUACUACGAUUCAUGAGGGAGGAACCAAUUGGGCAUGCCUUUUUAGAAUUCUUGCUUGGCGCAUAUGGAGUAAUCACAAUCUUUUUUAUUUUUCAAGGAUAAUUUUGGAGCCCAAGUGACAUAGUCAAAAUUUCGUAUAGCUGGGCCAUAUAAUUCUUUUCGGCCUUUAAUACGAAAAUGGUUGGUUGCCUCGAUUUAUCCUAUGAAGAACAUGUUGGAAAAUAUGGACAUCACAUAUAUAAUAAGGAUAAUUACAUACUAUUAUUAUUUACUAUCAUGAUAGGUUAGUCUAAAUUAAAAGUGAUCUAAUUUAGUUAAUGUUUUAUUGGGCUUUAAUUAUUAAAUAAAAUAUGGGUCAAAUAUGUGUAGAUACUCUAGCAUUUGAGUUCUAAUCAAAUUCUAAUUAAUGAUGCGCUAAUUAGGAAUUAGAACUAAUAGGACAAUGUUAUAAAUAUUAGGUUUAUGGUCUCCAAAUUAUAUACAAGAUAUCUUUUCUAAUAUCUCAUCCUUAAGAAAGAGAGAGCAAAUAUUAUCUCAAUUUCUUGUGUGCUAAUUUGGAAAAUCAAAUUCCCAGAUCUGGAAAAACUUCAAGGAUUUCAAGGAUUCAGAGGAAGAAAGGUUGAAGCGUGAUAAGUCUGAAAAUGCUCAUUUGGCCAAUGCCCCUAAAGACAAGGGUAAAAAAAGGAAAAUAUCAGAAUGAAACUGCUAAGGGUUCAGCUCAAAAGAAACAAUAGCAAGCUACAGAGAUUUGUUUCUUUUGUAACAAGUUUGGACACGUAAAGAAAGAUUGUACCAAAUAUCAUGCUUGGCGUGCAAAGAAAGGGUUACUUACCGAAAGUCAAGUGAUGGUGAAAGACAUAUCUUCGUGGGCGAUGGAAAAUCGGUAGAAGUGGAAGCGAUUGAUCGUUUGAGGUUGUUAUUAGGAACUGGUUUUUAUUUGGAUUUAAAAGACACUUUAUUGUACUGUCUUUUAGACGGAAUUUAGUUUAUGUUUCUUCGUUGGACGAAUUUGGAUAUUAUUGUUCAUUUGGAAACAA